AAGAUUUUAAAAGUCGAACAGACUUAAAUAUUAAACUUCUCCACUUAAUUUUUAUCUUAAUUCAACAUCGAGGUCGCAAACACUUUUAUUAAUAUGAACUCUCUAAAAAUAUUACG
rnacentral:rRNA from 1 species